rnacentral:rRNA from 1 species
UACGUAGGGUGCAAGCAUUAAUCGGAAUUAUUGGGCGUAAAGGGCGCGUAGGCGGGGAUAUAAGUCAGAUGUGAAAUUCCAAAGCUCAACUUUGGAGCUGCAUUUGAAACUAUAUCUCUUAGAGGGAUGGCGGAGAAAGCGGAAUUCCACGUGUAGCGGUGAAAUGCGUAGAUAUGUGGAAGAACACCGGUGGCGAAAGCGGCUUUCUAGCUUAUACCUGACGCUGAGGCGCGAGAGCAAGGGGAGCAAACAGG